rnacentral:rRNA from 1 species
UGGGGAAGUUUUCCGUCAAUGGGCGAAAGCCUGACGGAGCAAUGCCGCGUGGAGGUGGAAGGCCUACGGGUCGUCAACUUCUUUUCUUCGGAGAAGAAACAAUGACGGUAUCUGAGGAAUAAGCAUCGGCUAACUCUGUGCCAG